rnacentral:rRNA from 1 species
UACAGAGGUCUCAAGCGUUUGUUCGGAUUCAUUGGGCGUAAAGGGUGCGUAGGCGGCGCGGUAAGUCGGGUGUGAAAUCUCGGAGCUUAACUCCGAAACUGCAUUCGAUACUGCCGUGCUUGAGGACUGGAGAGGAGACGUGGAAUUUGACGGUGUAGCGGUGAAAUGCGUAGAUAUCGUAAGGAAGACCAGGUGGCGAAGGCGGGUCUCUGGACAGUUCCUGGACGGCUGAGGCAACGGAAAGGUCAGGGGGAGCAAAACGGG